rnacentral:rRNA from 1 species
CCUACGGGGGGCAGCAGUGAGGAAUAUUGGUCAAUGGACGAGAGUCUGAACCAGCCAAGUAGCGUGAAGGAUGACUGCCCUAUGGGUUGUAAACUUCUUUUAUAUGGGAAUAAAAUGUUCCACGUGUGGGAUUUUGUAUGUACCAUAUGAAUAAGGAUCGGCUAACUCCGUGCCAGCAGCCGCGGUAAUAAGGAGGAUCCGAGCGUUAUCCGGAUUUAUUGGGUUUAAAGGGAGCGUAGGUGGAUGGUUAAGUCAGUUGUGAAAGUUUGCGGCUCAACCGUAAAAUUGCAGUUGAAACUGGCAGUCUUGAGUACAGUAGAGGUGAGCGGAAUUCGUGGUGUAGCGGUGAAAUGCUUAGAUAUCACGAAGAACUCCGAUUGCGAAGGCAGUUCACUGGACUGCAACUGACACUGAGGCUCGAAAGUGUGGGUAUCAAACAGGAUUAGAUACCCUUGUAGUC